UAUGUUGAUAGCUCAGUCGGUAGAGCAUGAGGCUCUUAAUCUCAGGAUAAUGGGUUCAAGCAAAAGAUCCUUGCAUUAUAG